rnacentral:rRNA from 1 species
AGAGUUUGAUUAUGGCUCAGGACGAACGUUGGCGGUGCGCUUAAUGCAUGCAAGUCGAGGGAGAAGCAGUUGUUCCGUAAGGUUCGAUUGUGGAAACCGGCGAACGGGUGCGUAACACGUGAGAAACCUGCCCCCCAGAUCGGGAUAGCCCAGGGAAACCUGGAUUAAUACCGGAUACUCUCUUUGGAUCGCAUGAUCCGUUGAGGAAAAGUCCGCUGCUGGGGGAUGGUCUCGCGGCCUAUCAGCUUGUUGGUGAGGUAACGGCUCACCAAGGCUAAGACGGGUAGCUGGUCUGAGAGGACGAUCAGCCACACUGGAACUGAGACACGGUCCAGACUCCUACGGGAGGCAGCAGCAGGGAAUAUUGCACAAUGGGCGAAAGCCUGAUGCAGCGACACCGCGUGCGGGAUGACGGCCUUAGGGUUGUAAACCGCUUUCGGGAGGGAAGAAAAUGACGGUACCUCCUAAAGAAGCUCCGGCCAACUACGUGCCAGCAGCCGCGGUAAUACGUAGGGAGCAAACGUUGUCCGGGAUUUAUUGGGCGUAAAGGGCUCGUAGGCGGUUCAACAAGUCGGUCGUGAAAACCCGGGGCUCAACCCCGGGACGCCGGUCGAAACUGUUGUGACUAGAGUUCGGUAGAGGUGAGUGGAAUUCUCGGUGUAGCGGUGGAAUGCGCAGAUAUCGAGAGGAACACCAUUAGCGAAGGCGGCUCACUGGGCCGAUACUGACGCUGAGGAGCGAAAGCGUGGGGAGCAAACAGGAUUAGAUACCCUGGUAGUCCACGCCGUAAACGAUGAACACUAGGUGUAGCGGACUGAUUCAUGUCUGCUGUGCCGCAGCUAACGCAUUAAGUGUUCCGCCUGGGGAGUACGGCCGCAAGGCUAAAACUCAAAUGAAUUGACGG